rnacentral:rRNA from 1 species
UUCCGGUUGAUCCUGCCGGAGGUUACUGCUAUCGAGGUUCGACUAAGCCAUGCGAGUCGAAUGUAGCAAUACAUGGCGAACUGCUCAGUAACACGUGGACAACCUGCCCUUAGGACGGGGAUAAACCCGGGAAACUGGGUAUAAUACCCGAUAGGUCUCGAUUGCUGGAAUGCAUCGAGAUUUAAAGCUCCGGCGCCUAAGGAUGGGUCUGCGGCCUAUCAGGUAGUAGUGGGUGUAGCGUACCUACUAGCCUACGACGGGUACGGGUUGUGAGAGCAAGAGCCCGGAGAUGGAUUCUGAGACACGAAUCCAGGCCCUACGGGGUGCAGCAGGCGCGAAAACUUUACAAUGCUGGCAACAGCGAUAAGGGAACCUCGAGUGCCAGGUUACAAAUCUGGCUGUCGAGAUGCCUAAAAARCAUUUCAUAGCAAGGGCCGGGCAAGACCGGUGCCAGCCGCCGCGGUAACACCGGCGGCUCGAGUGGUAACCGUUAUUAUUGGGUCUAAAGGGUCUGUAGCCGGCCGGAUAAGUCUCUUGAGAAAUCUGGCAGCUUAACUGUCAGGCUUUCAGGAGAUACUGUCUGGCUCGAGGCCGGGAGAGGUGAGAGGUACUUCAGGGGUAGGGGUGAAAUCUUGUAAUCCUUGAAGGACCACCAGUGGCGAAGGCGUCUCACCAGAACGGACCUGACGGCAAGGGACGAAAGCUAGGGGCACGAACCGGAUUAGAUACCCGGGUAGUCCUAGCCGUAAACGAUACUCGCUAGGUGUCGGCCACGGUGCGACCGUUGUCGGUGCCGUAGGGAAGCCGUGAAGCGAGCCACCUGGGAAGUACGGCCGCAGGGCUGAAACUUAAAGGAAUUGGCGGGGGAGCACCACAACGGGUGGAGCUUGCGGUUUAAUUGGAGUCAACGCCGGA